AGAGGAUGUACCAACUGAGAGGAAAUCUGCAUGAUAACUCAAGAGGAAGUUUUACCUGUGGAAUGCCCAAAAUGAGAAAUGGAUGGGAGAAAAGCUCAUUCGGGGCCUCUAUGGAGGGGACCCUAAGUAGCCAAAUGGUAGCAUGAGGUCUCCAGAGAUUUAUGGCUGUGAGGAUUUCACCUCUCUUCUGACUCAGUGUCUGGGUGGUGGCAUCCCCCAAUGGAAAAGAAAUCCCUUGACAAGCCCAGGCGGUCUAGGCCCCUGGAGGUCUUCCAAGAAUACAGUCAAGCAAAUGCAGGAAGGAAGCCGGGCAAAGGCAAGAAGAUUUCAAGCAUCCAUCCAAAGCAGAUUCACUCAAGAUUUCACUAUAAUCUCCACAAACUGCAUAAAAUAACUAUCAUUAGGCAAGUUCUGGCUUCUUGUAUAGUUGAGAAUCCUCCUUGACUUUCAUUAGAAACACACACCACGCCAUACAUUGAUAUGGUACUCUGUCUGCAUUCCCUCUGCACGUUUGCAUGAAUGAGCUUAUCCAUUUCACUUGCUCUGAUUAUUUUGAAAGACUAAUAAU